rnacentral:rRNA from 1 species
GAUGAACGCUGGCGGCGUGCCUAAUACAUGCAAGUCGAGCGAACGGACGAGAAGCUUGCUUCUCUGAUGUUAGCGGCGGACGGGUGAGUAACACGUGGAUAACCUACCUAUAAGACUGGGAUAACUUCGGGAAACCGGAGCUAAUACCGGAUAAUAUUUUGAACCGCAUGGUUCAAAAGUGAAAGACGGUCUUGCUGUCACUUAUAGAUGGAUCCGCGCUGCAUUAGCUAGUUGGUAAGGUAACGGCUUACCAAGGCAACGAUGCAUAGCCGACCUGAGAGGGUGAUCGGCCACACUGGAACUGAGACACGGUCCAGACUCCUACGGGAGGCAGCAGUAGGGAAUCUUCCGCAAUGGGCGAAAGCCUGACGGAGCAACGCCGCGUGAGUGAUGAAGGUCUUCGGAUCGUAAAACUCUGUUAUUAGGGAAGAACAUAUGUGUAAGUAACUGUGCGCAUCUUGACGGUACCUAAUCAGAAAGCCACGGCUAACUACGUGCCAGCAGCCGCGGUAAUACGUAGGUGGCAAGCGUUAUCCGGAAUUAUUGGGCGUAAAGCGCGCGUAGGCGGUUUUUUAAGUCUGAUGUGAAAGCCCACGGCUCAACCGUGGAGGGUCAUUGGAAACUGGAAAACUUGAGUGCAGAAGAGGAAAGUGGAAUUCCAUGUGUAGCGGUGAAAUGCGCAGAGAUAUGGAGGAACACCAGUGGCGAAGGCGACUUUCUGGUCUGUAACUGACGCUGAUGUGCGAAAGCGUGGGGAUCAAACAGGAUUAGAUACCCUGGUAGUCCACGCCGUAAACGAUGAGUGCUAAGUGUUAGGGGGUUUCCGCCCCUUAGUGCUGCAGCUAACGCAUUAAGCACUCCGCCUGGGGAGUACGACCGCAAGGUUGAAACUCAAAGGAAUUGACGGGGACCCGCACAAGCGGUGGAGCAUGUGGUUUAAUUCGAAGCAACGCGAAGAACCUUACCAAAUCUUGACAUCCUUUGACAACUCUAGAGAUAGAGCUUUCCCCUUCGGGGGACAAAGUGACAGGUGGUGCAUGGUUGUCGUCAGCUCGUGUCGUGAGAUGUUGGGUUAAGUCCCGCAACGAGCGCAACCCUUAAGCUUAGUUGCCAUCAUUAAGUUGGGCACUCUAAGUUGACUGCCGGUGACAAACCGGAGGAAGGUGGGGAUGACGUCAAAUCAUCAUGCCCCUUAUGAUUUGGGCUACACACGUGCUACAAUGGACAAUACAAAGGGCAGCGAAACCGUGAGGUCAAGCAAAUCCCAUAAAGUUGUUCUCAGUUCGGAUUGUAGUCUGCAACUCGACUACAUGAAGCUGGAAUCGCUAGUAAUCGUAGAUCAGCAUGCUACGGUGAAUACGUUCCCGGGUCU